UGCCAUGAAUAUUUUCACGGAGUGUAAGGUUGCGGGUGGCGAAAGAAUACCCGCGAGUAGAAGCUCCUGUUUUUGACUAUGAUAAUCAAGCUGGAGCGAGACAGGGGUAGCAACUUAAUUUCGCACCGCUCGUACUUUCAUCCGAUGCGCAUCUUAUACGAACUAGAGGGAUUCUCAAAUUUCCACGAGAGUUUGGAUAAUGUUACCCGGAAAUUUUUCUAAAUGACAAAAGCUAAAACACGUAGAGUAAUAACGAGGAGGGGAAAUGUUCCAAAGCUCAAUUCCAAACCUACUUAUUUUUUAAAUACCUCGUAAAAGGUUUGCCCAUCGUCCUUUAGAUCCUCUUCGACGUGAAACAUAUAAUUAGGUUUCUAAAUAAACAAAAAAAAUAGAAGAAUUACUAUUCACGUAAUAUUUACAUCAUGCAGCCUGACACGCAUUAAAAUGCAAAAAUAAUAUUCGCUGCAUCUCGGUGCGGACAUGAAGGGGUUAAUGGCGAAGGAAGAACAAGUCGAGGCGCGAGAUAAAGAGGAAUGUGCUAGAAUGCGAGACAGAGAAGAAUGUGCAGAGGUUGCUGUAUUAUCUCGCUCUCAUCCCUGAUACGUAAUAUUUCUCGUAUCAAAGUGCACGUGACGGUCAGCGCGAUUAUGUGAAUGUAUUUCCUCGUGACGAUGGCCCGCGAAAGGAAGCGUUGAACGCGCCCUUCAAACUAUCGUAAACACGAACAAAUUCGCGACCAGAGAUCAUCUAGAAACAAAUUUUGAGGCCUUCCAAUGUCAAAAGGAUCUUCGGCCCUGGUGUAGUACCUGCAAACGAUCAACAGGAGCGAUACAAAGCUAUCUGCGGGGUCCAGAACAACAAAGGGGAUUAGUAUUUUUACAUAACGACGGAUGAAUGCACAAGGGUCGAAUAAGUACGCCUAAUCUGUCCGCGGUCUUAGUUUCACGGUUGAUUGGAUAGGAGGAAUUUUUCCAAAUUCGGGGAAAAUCUGUCUUGCUCCUCGAAGGCUGUUUGAGGAACUUGUUUUGUUCAAAAUGUUUUCGUUUUACCUGCAACGGGGAUGUGUAACAAUAUUAGAUGAGAAACAAUAAUAACAACAAAGUAAAUAAUAUAUCGAUAUUACAUAGAGCAAGUAGGACCUGUGUUCUUUUUUUCUGCAAUUUGUUUUCAAAUUGAAUUUGCAUCCCAGCAGUAAUUCUAUUCGAUUCUUAUUUAGAUACCUCCCUUAUCCGGAUAAUGGCGAACACGGCGACGUCGGUAAUGAUCGAAACGUGGUUUUCUGUAAAAAGAAGUUUACGGUAACCGCGUCACGGUGGCCCACGGGUAUACAAAUGCAAUAUACUUCAUGGACUGUUACGUGAAAUGGAUGUCGUCGAGUUUCCCAAGAGUCUGUCGUUCGACGGAGAUCGAAGGCAAUAAAGAGAGGCACGUGAAGGAGACAUGGCGUCGACAUCCUGUGGGUUGGUCGAAGUAGUCGCUGGUGGAGAAAGAGGAGGCGAAAUGGGGAUAAAUACGACGGCGUGCGAGCUAGCAUGACCCUCGAAGUAUGCGGGAAGCUUGUGGUCUAUCUCUGAGUAACAUAUAAAUGGUGUGCUCCGCCAUAGCUACGUACGCGCUCGACCACCCAAGGGUACAUACAUACAUACAUGGGCAGGAGCACUCUAGGAAAAGUGCAUAAGCACGGGGCAGAGUAUUUACUUUGCGGAGGGCCAGCAUCCUGCAGAAAAAUUGUCAUUCGUUGAACUCCGGAAAAAAGUGAAAGCGCUUUUCUUCUCCGUGGAAAGAGGCGGCCUUUGUUUUCCGUGGAACAUCCCGAAGGGUCCUGUCGUUUACUCGCAACGCCGAUCUCCGAAGAUACAAGGAAUGAGUUUUAAACAACCUCCAUCGUCGAUUAACUUGCACGUUCGUAAAUUACCAAGAAGAUAGCAAGCUAAUUCUCGAACACCCUGUGUGCAUGUAACGCAGGCGCAGGCAGCUGUCACCUUACACCCAUGGAGGAGCCAUGGGCUGCGGCGGCCAUUCUCAACUUAUCUCUAGGAUCUUUGUAAACAUGUCGUGAAAUCCGAGUAUUCAAGCAGUGGCGUAGAUCGCGAGGUGGAAGGACCCGUCGGAGCCUUCUCUGAGUAGGAAUUAAAAUCCCCGUCGGGUACAUUUAGUGACUGCAACAUUGGGUGCACAUGGUUCCCUUGGCAACCAGAACCAUGGUGGCAACGUCACUAAAUGGAGCACAUCUUUGUUCCGUGCUAAUAAAAGGACUCCACAAGG